rnacentral:rRNA from 1 species
AAAGGGGCUUCGGCCCUGAGUAAAGUGGCGCACGGGUGAGUAACACGUGACUAACCUACCCUUGAGUGGGGAAUAACUUCGGGAAACCGAGGCUAAUACCGCAUAACACCUACGGGUCAAAGGAGCAAUUCGCUUAAGGAGGGGGUCGCGGCAGAUUAGUUAGUUGGCGGGGUAAUGGCCCACCAAGACGGUGAUCUGUAUCCGGCCUGAGAGGGCGCACGGACACACUGGAACUGAAACACGGUCCAG